rnacentral:rRNA from 1 species
AUGAACGCUAGCUACAGGCUUAACACAUGCAAGUCGAGGGGAAACGACAUUGAAGCUUGCUUCGAUGGUCGUCGACCGGCGCACGGGUGAGUAACGCGUAUCCAACCUGCCUCUGACCAAGGGAUAACCCGUCGAAAGUCGGCCUAAUACCUUAUGCAGUCGUCGGAAGUCAUCUGAUGACGACGAAAGAUUUCAUCGGUGAGAGAUGGGGAUGCGUCUGAUUAGCUUGUUGGCGGGGUAACGGCCCACCAAGGCAACGAUCAGUAGGGGUUCUGAGAGGAAGGUCCCCCACAUUGGAACUGAGACACGGUCCAAACUCCUACGGGAGGCAGCAGUGAGGAAUAUUGGUCAAUGGGCGAGAGCCUGAACCAGCCAAGUAGCGUGCAGGAUGACGGCCCUAUGGGUUGUAAACUGCUUUUAUGCGGGGAUAAAGUGAGGGACGUGUCCUUCAUUGCAGGUACCGCAUGAAUAAGGACCGGCUAAUUCCGUG